GGUGCAUCUCUAACGUUCAUGAAAUCGGGUGAACUAGAGACUUGUACAGCUGGAUGAAGAUAACAGGGGUGAUGAAGUCAAAUGAUCGUCGGAUGACUCCAAGGAUUCGAUUUCCUUUUGCAGUUGCUUGGUUUAUGUGGUUGCUGAAGGUCAGCCCUUUGU